GAUUAUGGCUCAGAACGAACGCUGGCGGCGCGUCUUAAGCAUGCAAGUCGAACGGCAAGAGGUAGCAAUACCUCCUAGAGUGGCGGACUGGUGAGUAACACGUGGGUGACAUACCCUUCAGAUGGGGAUAGCUAUUAGAAAUAGUAGAUAAUACCGAAUACGAGCACAGGGGUUAGAGAUCUGUGAGGAAAGGAGCUAAGGCUCCGCUGAAGGAAUGGCCUGCGGCCCAUUAGCUAGUUGGUGAGGUAAGAGCCCACCAAGGCGAUGAUGGGUAUCCGGCCUUAGAGGGUGAACGGACACAUUGGGACUGAGAUACGGCCCAGACUCCUACGGGAGGCAGCAGCUAAGAAUAUUCCGCAAUGGACGAAAGUCUGACGGAGCGACGCCGCGUGGAUGAAGAAGGCCGGAAGGUUGUAAAAUCCUUUUGAAACUGAAGAAUAAGCGUUGUAGGGAAUGACAGCGUGGUGACAGUAGGUUUUGAAUAAGCAACGGCUAAUUACGUGCCAGCAGCCGC
rnacentral:rRNA from 1 species